rnacentral:rRNA from 1 species
AGUGAACGCUGGCGGUAGGCCUAACACAUGCAAGUCGAACGGCAGCACAGUAAGAGCUUGCCCUUACGGGUGGCGAGUGGCGGACGGGUGAGGAAUACAUCGGAAUCUACUUUUUCGUGGGGGAUAACGUAGGGAAACUUACGCUAAUACCGCAUACGACCUACGGGUGAAAGCAGGGGAUCUUCGGACCUUGCGCGAUUGAAUGAGCCGAUGUCGGAUUAGCUAGUUGGCGGGGUAAAGGCCCACCAAGGCGACGAUCCGUAGCUGGUCUGAGAGGAGGAUCAGCCACACUGGAACUGAGACACGGUCCAGACUCCUAAGGGAGGCAGCAGUGGGGAAUAUUGGACAAUGGGCGCAAGCCUGAUCCAGCCAUACCGCGUGGGUGAAGAAGGCCUUCGGGUUGUAAAGCCCUUUUGUUGGGAAAGAAAAGCAGCAGGUUGAUACCCCGCUGUUCUGACGGUACCCAAAGAAUAAGCACCGGCUAACUUCGUG